rnacentral:tRNA from 2 species
GCUGAGGUAGUGUAGUGGUUAGCACGUAGGAUUUUGAUGAUAAUCAAUCUCUGAUUUCCUGAAUCCCCGGUUCGAACCCGGGCCACAGCU